rnacentral:rRNA from 1 species
UGGGGAAUAUUGCACAAUGGGCGGAAGCCUGAUGCAGCAACGCCGCGUGCGGGAUGACGGCCUUCGGGUUGUAAACCGCUUUCGCCUGUGACGAAGCGUGAGUGACGGUAAUGGGUAAAGAAGCACCGGCUAACUACGUGCCAGCAGCCGCGGUGAUACGUAGGGUGCGAGCGUUGUCCGGAUUUAUUGGGCGUAAAGGGCUCGUAGGUGGUUGAUCGCGUCGGAAGUGUAAUCUUGGGGCUUAACCCUGAGCGUGCUUUCGAUACGGGUUGACUUGAGGAAGGUAGGGGAGAAUGGAAUUCCUGGUGGAGCGGUGGAAUGCGCAGAUAUCAGGAGGAACACCAGUGGCGAAGGCGGUUCUCUGGGCCUUUCCUGACGCUGAGGAGCGAAAAGCGUGGGGAGCGAACAGGCUUAGAUACCCUGGUAGUCCACGCUGUAAACGGUGGGUACUAGGUGUGGGGGUCCAUUUCCACGGGUUCCGUGCCGUAGCUAACGCUUUAAGUACCCCGCCUGGGGGAGUACGCCGCAAGGCUAAAACUCAAAUGAAUUGACGGGGGUCAUAGCUGUUUCCU